AUUGAACGCUGGCGGCAUGCCUUACACAUGCAAGUCGAACGGCAGCACGGGAGCAAUCCUGGUGGCGAGUGGCGAACGGGUGAGUAAAGUAUCGGAACGUACCUUUCAGUGGGGGAUAACGUAGCGAAAGUUACGCUAAUACCGCAUACGAUCUAUGGAUGAAAGCGGGGGAUCGCAAGACCUCGCGCGAUUGGAGCGGCCGAUAUCAGAUUAGGUAGUUGGUGGGGUAAAGGCUCACCAAGCCGACGAUCUGUAGCUGGUCUGAGAGGACGCCCAGCCACACUGGGACUGAGAAACGGCCCAGACUCCUACGGGAGGCAGCAGUGGGGAAUUUUGGACAAUGGGCGAAAGCCUGAUCCAGCCAUGCCGCGUGCAGGAUGAAGGCCUUCGGGUUGUAAACUGCUUUUGUACGGAACGAAAAGGUUUGGGCUAAUAAGCUGAGCUCAUGACGGUACCGUAAGAAUAAGCACCGGCUAACUACGUGCCAGCCGCCGCCGUAA
rnacentral:rRNA from 1 species